UGGGAAUUUUGGACAAUGGGCGAAANCCUGAUCCAGCAAUGCCGCGUGUGUGAAGAAGGCCUUCGGGUUGUAAAGCACUUUUGUCCGGAAAGAAAUCCUUGGCUCUAAUACAGUCGGGGGAUGACGGUACCGGAAGAAUAAGCACCGGCUAACUACGUGCCAGCAGCCGCGGUAAUACGUAGGGUGCAAGCGUUAAUCGGAAUUACUGGGCGUAAAGCGUGCGCAGGCGGUUUGCUAAGACCGAUGUGAAAUCCCCGGGCUCAACCUGGGAACUGCAUUGGUGACUGGCAGGCUAGAGUAUGGCAGAGGGGGGUAGAAUUCCACGUGUAGCAGUGAAAUGCGUAGAGAUGUGGAGGAAUACCGAUGGCGAAGGCAGCCCCCUGGGCCAAUACUGACGCUCAUGCACGAAAGCGUGGGGAGCAAACAGGAUUCAGUACCCUGGUAGUCCACGCCUAAACGAUGUCAACUAGUUGUUGGGGAUUCAUUCC
rnacentral:rRNA from 1 species